GGGGGCGUCCCGGUUUCGACGGAGAUGCUGAACCCUGUGGGGCAUGUCGGGAUGGUACUCUCGUUAAAAAGACCAACGGCAUUAACUGCCAACGACGACGUAGAACUCGCUUACGCUGCGU
rnacentral:tmRNA from 1 species